rnacentral:lncRNA from 1 species
ACAUGUGCAAGCUUAAAAGGAAUAAAACAAACAAGUCAUUCUCUUCUUCACAUGAUGUUCACGACAAUUGCUAGCAAAGUCCAAAACCAAAAUUGCAGAAUUCCUUCUAUGGAAAUUGGGUCUCAACAUUUGUUUGUCCAAAUCGGGUAAAAACUUAAAUGCAUCAAUUUCUCUCUCCCUUUCAACCCAUUUUCGGUUUUCCUCUACCAAAGCAAACAUCCAAAGCUUCUCCAUCUUCCAAAACCGAGAACACACACCCAAGAAACCCCAUUUCAAGUUGCAACACCAUUCAAGACAAUAAACCCACACUACUACUACUUCAACUCAACCCAAUCUUCCAUUUCUUCAAGCUCUUGUGAAAAAAUGAAAAUAACAUUAUACCAUUCAACUCAAGCAAUGUCCAGCCCCAAUAACAUCAUCAAACUCUGGUUCCAAACUAUUUUCAAACAUCAAAACCGAAAUAUGGAAGAAAAGAGCUAAACCCACAACACCCACACAACACCUUAAGCUCUCUUUAACCUAAAACUCACGUAGAACCACAUUUUCAACAAACAACCAACCAAAAUGCAAAGAAAAACGUGAGUAACAACAGUAAAGGAGAGGAAAAACGAAAAUAUAAAGUCACUCAAACCCAACAAUCACCAUGGAAAUGCAAAGAAAAGCUUAAAAGCUCAAGCUUCAAACAUAAAAAACAAGCAAAUGGAAGAAGGAAUGAAUGGAUUUUCACCACCAAUGAGUUAAGACAGCCAAGAGUGAGUCAAGGGAAGAAGAAAAUCUGCAUAACAUUCAUUGAAAAUGGUCCAAAACCGUGGCACCAAGCAAGCACCCAUGGGAGCAUGUUCAAACAAGAGAAAACCCUAGGAGAAUGAAACCAAAAACAUGAAUAUGGAAAUGUUCAUGUGUGGCUCGGUUUUCCCACCCCAUAUGACCGAGAUUUUUAAUUUUGGUGGGGUCCACACAUUACAAGUCAGCCCUAAAGGGAUGCCACAUGGCCCCACAAUUGGUUUUUACAAAAAUGCCCCUAAAGGGGUCCAAAACACCUAAUUCUAAUUAAGGGCUUCUAGAAAACGAAAUUACAACUUCAUUAAAAUGGAAGUGACUAAAUGUUGAGUCUUGAAUGAUCACGCC